rnacentral:rRNA from 1 species
ACCAGACUCCUACGGGAGGCAGCAGUGGGGGAUAUUGCACAAUGGGGGGAACCCUGAUGCAGCGACGCCGCGUGGGUGAAGAAGCGCCUCGGCGCGUAAAGCCCUGUCAGCAGGGAAGAAAAUGACGGUACCUGAAGAAGAAGCCCCGGCUAACUACGUGCCAGCAGCCGCGGUAAUACGUAGGGGGCAAGCGUUAUCCGGAUUUACUGGGUGUAAAGGGGGCGCAGACGGCGAUGCAAGCCAGGAGUGAAAGCCCGGGGCCCAACCCCGGGACUGCUCUUGGAACUGCGUGGCUGGAGUGCAGGAGGGGCAGGCGGAAUUCCUGGUGUAGCGGUGAAAUGCGUAGAUAUCAGGAGGAACACCGGUGGCGAAGGCGGCCUGCUGGACUGCAACUGACGCUGAGGCGCGAAAGCGUGGGGAGCAAACAGGAUUAGAUCCCCGAGUA